GAUCCUGGCUCAGGAUGAACGCUAGCUACAGGCUUAACACAUGCAAGUCGAGGGGCAGCAUGGUCUUAGCUUGCUAAGGCCGAUGGCGACCGGCGCACGGGUGAGUAACGCGUAUCCAACCUGCCUUACACUCUUGGACAGCCUUCUGAAAGGGAGAUUAAUACAAGAUGUUAUCAUGAGUAAGCAUUUUCGCAUGAUUAAAGGUAUUCCGGUAGACGAUGGGGAUGCG
rnacentral:rRNA from 1 species